UACGGAGGAUGCGAGCGUUAUCCGGAUUUAUUGGGUUUAAAGGGUGCGUAGGCGGACAGUUAAGUCAGCGGUAAAAUUGAGAGGCUCAACCUCUUCCCGCCGUUGAAACUGAUUGUCUUGAGUGGGCGAGAAGUAUGCGGAAUGCGUGGUGUAGCGGUGAAAUGCAUAGAUAUCACGCAGAACUCCGAUUGCGAAGGCAGCAUACCGGCGCCCAACUGACGCUGAAGCACGAAAGCGUGGGUAUCGAACAGGAUUAGAUACCCGAGUAGUCCACAUCGGGUGCCAGCCGCCGCGGUA
rnacentral:rRNA from 1 species